CAGAGAAAUGGCUACCUCCAAAUCCAAGUUUGCAUCUUUUUGUGUUCUUGCCCUACUUCUCUCCACCAUUCUCAUGGGGAUUCGGGCUGAAAAUGAUGGAUGUGUGGGAGACUGCAAGAACCUCCAUGAAUGUAUGAAGAAAUGUGAUGCAUGGGGUUAUGAUGCUAGUCUUGCUGAAUGCCAUCCCAGAUGGGAAGCACCCAUUGGUGACUGCUGUUGUAAAAAAAGCUAUUUCUGAAUCUUGUUUGUAAUAACUUAUGCAUAGGAAAAAUUUUGAGAUAGAAGAGACUGUUGUCUCAUGUG